GAAACCCUGCUGUGUUCGUGGUGAAGCUGAAACGUUACGAACCCACGGCGUUAUCUGGGGAGCCGAACUCUGGUCUGACGGAGCGCGGCCGUCGCCCGACGGCAGCCCAGCGCUGACCAGGAGGCGCCCACCUGCGGGAGCAGGGUUCAGAUAACGAUCAGCACUAGCGGCACGGCGGGGUUUUU
rnacentral:other from 1 species